UGGAUAUCCUGAUGUGAUAAAUCCACAAGUUCCUCUUGACAAUGAAAGUUAUUGCCUAUAAUCUUUGCUUCUAGGUUCAAGAUGUACAGAUUAAGAAAAGUUUUGCAUCCAGAGAGGAGUCUCUGAAAGAAAUGGACAGUCUAAGGGAAAUACUAGAACAGCAUCCUCUUCAUUUUUCUUUCCAUGAUGGGAAAGUUCUGAAGCUCUGUCCUGUGAGGAGUGAACAGACCUGGGCACUGAACAUCAAGCGAGGCAUUCUUAGUGUCCUGCAGACAGCUCAAGAAUUCCCUGUUGGUGCCAUUGUUGAGGAGGUGGAUGUCCUGGGAAUAUGCCCAACCAGGUAUCAGCAAAAGGGUCCCAUUCUUGUAAAGACAAAGGACUUAAACCUCUGCUCCCAUCGCUCUUCUGGUUUGACUUCUGUGCAGUCUGUUGUUCUUCCUCAUGCAUCAGUAAGUUUUGGGGAAUGACACUGGCUCUUGCUUUUGACUUAUUUGAAGAGAGUGUCUGCCCAAACU
rnacentral:lncRNA from 1 species